UGGGGAAUUGCUCAUCCUCCAGUUGA
rnacentral:piRNA from 1 species